rnacentral:rRNA from 1 species
GAUGAACGCUGGCGGCGUGCCUAAUACAUGCAAGUCGAGCGAACACACGAGGAGCUUUCUCCUCUGGCGUUAGCGGCGGACGGGUGAGUAACACGUGGAGAACCUACCUAUAAGACUGGGAUAACUUCGGGAAACCGGAGCUAAUACCGGAUAAUAUAUUAAACCGCAUGGUUCAGUAGUGAAAGGCGUUUUUGCUUUCACUUAUAGAUGCAGCCGCGCGGCAUUAGCUAGUUGGUAAGGUAACGGCUUACCAAGGCAACGAUGCGUAGCCGACCUGAGAGGGUGAUCGGCCAAACUGGAACUGAGACACGGUCCAGACUCCUACGGGAGGCAGCAGUAGGGAAUCUUACGCAAUGGGGGAAAGCCUGACGGAGCAACGCCGCGUGAAUGAUGAAGGUCUUCGGAUGGUAAAACUCUGUUAUUAGGGAGGAAGAAAUGUGUAAGUAAAUAUGCACGUCUUGACGGUACCUAAUCAGAAAGCCACGGCUAACUACGUG